rnacentral:rRNA from 1 species
UACGUAGGGUGCGAGCGUUAAUCGGAAUUACUGGGCGUAAAGCGCGCGUAGGCGGACCUGCAAGUCGGGGGUGAAAGCCCGAGGCUCAACCUCGGAACUGCCUUCGAUACUGCGGGUCUCGAGUCCGGGAGAGGUGAGUGGAAUUCCUAGUGUAGAAGGUGAAAUUCGUAGAUAUUAGGAAGAACACCAGUGGCGGAAGGCGGCUCACUGGCCCGGUACUGACGCUGAGGCGCGAAAGGCGUGGGGGAGCAAACAGG